rnacentral:tRNA from 1 species
GCCAGUGUGGUGUAGUGGUUUGAGUAGUGGUCUACGACUCUAGAGACCAGGGUUCAAAUCCCCACUCUGCCA